rnacentral:rRNA from 1 species
CAGUCGCCGCGGUAAUACGGAGGGUGCAAGCGUUAUCCGGAUUUAUUGGGUUUAAAGGGUCUGUAGGCGGAUCUGUAAGUCAGUGGUGAAAUCUCACAGCUUAACUGUGAAACUGCCAUUGAUACUGCAGGUCUUGAGUAAAUUUGAAGUGGCUGGAAUAAGUAGUGUAGCGGUGAAAUGCAUAGAUAUUACUUAGAACACCAAUUGCGAAGGCAGGUCACUAAGAUUUAACUGACGCUGAUGGACGAAAGCGUGGGGAGCGAACAGGAUUAGAUACCCCCGUAGUCCCUGUCUCUUAUAC